rnacentral:rRNA from 1 species
UUUUAUGGUCAUAACACCUUGAACAAGCCUGACCUCUUCUGAUUUUGGACACCAAGGAGUGUAGGGCCAGUUUAUACUUGGAUGAGAUCCCGCCUAGAAAUAUCAGAGUUUUAAUUU